UUGAUUGGCACCUGUCACUCCAAAUGAUUUGAAGCCUUGGUUGUGAACCAACAAAGGAUGGAUCUUUACUCACAUAAAACAUUAUGGAAUUCCCUUGUAACCGUGAUCAGGAGUGGAGUCAACAUUUCAUGCUUAUUUAAGGCGAUUUUACCAAGUUUCAUUGAAAUCGGUGAGAUGGCAUGUAUCACCCUGGCCCACUCACUUUAUUCUUGACGUACGUGGAUAAAAACACAAACCGAGUGCUUGGGUUACCUUUUGUUAUACAAAAACAGCGAGAGGUCAUCGAAUAAAUCUUACGCAUGAGUUCGUUAACAGCGCCUUAAACUCGAUAAAAGUGAGCACGCUAUAAA